AUGGGCGCAAGCCUGAUGCAGCCAUGCCGCGUGUGUGAAGAAGGCCUUCGGGUUGUAAAGCACUUUCAGUCAGGAGGAAAGGUUAGUAGUUAAUACCUGCUAGCUGUGACGUUACUGACAGAAGAAGCACCGGCUAACUCCGUGCCAGCAGCCGCGGUAAUACGGAGGGUGCGAGCGUUAAUCGGAAUUACUGGGCGUAAAGCGUACGCAGGCGGUUUGUUAAGCGAGAUGUGAAAGCCCCGGGCUCAACCUGGGAACUGCAUUUCGAACUGGCAAACUAGAGUGUGAUAGAGGGUGGUAGAAUUUCAGGUGUAGCGGUGAAAUGCGUAGAGAUCUGAAGGAAUACCGAUGGCGAAGGCAGCCACCUGGGUCAACACUGACGCUCAUGUACGAAAGCGUGGGGAGCAAACAGGAUUAGAUACCCUGGUAGUCCACGCCGUAAACGAUGUCUACUAGAAGCUCGGAACUUCGGUUCUGUUUUUCAAAGCUAACGCAUUAAGUAGACCGCCUGGG
rnacentral:rRNA from 1 species